CUCCUGGUGGCUUAGUGGUUAGGAUUUUGGACUUUUGCUUCAAAGUCCUAGGUUCAGUUCCUAGUCAGGGAA
rnacentral:tRNA from 1 species